rnacentral:rRNA from 1 species
GACGAACGCUGGCGGCGUGCUUAACACAUGCAAGUCGAGCGGUAAGGCCCUUUCGGGGGUACACGAGCGGCGAACGGGUGAGUAACACGUGGGUGACCUGCCCUCAGCUCUGGGAUAAGCCUGGGAAACCGGGUCUAAUACUGGAUAUGACUCCAUGACGCAUGUUGGUGGGGUGGAAAGCCUUGUGCGGCUGAGGAUGGGCCCGCGGCCUAUCAGCUUGUU